rnacentral:rRNA from 1 species
UAGUCCACGCCGUAAACGAUGGAUACUAGUUGUCGGGAGCUUGCUCUCGGUGACGGAGCUAACGUAUUAAGUAUCCCGCCUGGGGAGUACGAUCGCAAGGUUGAAACUCAAAGGAAUUGACGGGGGCCCGCACAAGCGGUGGGAGCAUGUGGUUUAAUUCGAUGCAACGCGAAGAACCUUACCUGGGCUUAAACUGUUGUGGAUCGCAUCAGAGAUGAUGUUUUCCUUCGGGACUGCAAUAGAGGUGCUGCAUGGCUGUCGUCAGCUCGUGUCGUGAGAUGUUCGGUUAAGUCCGGCAACGAGCGCAACCCCUAUCUUUAGUUGCCAGCACGUUAUGGUGGGAACUCUAAAGAGACUGCCUGGGUCAACCAGGAGGAAGGUGGGGAUGACGUCAAGUCCUCAUGGCCCUUACGUCCAGGGCUACACACGUGCUACAAUGGUCGGUACAACGAGAAGCUAAACAGCGAUGUCAUGCAAAUCUCUUAAAACCGAUCUC